ensembl:lncRNA
CUAUGGGUCUGUGGGGUAGAGAGAGGAGAGAAGAGGCUGGUGGGUCUAUGGGUCUAUGGGUCUGUGGGUCUAUGGGUCUAUGGGUCUGUGGGUCUAUGGGUCUGUUCACCAGACUAGGUUCAAAAACGAUUUGAAAUAUUACAAAUACUUUUAGCUGUCCUUGAUUGAGUAGCUCAUUGGACCAAUAGGAUAGUCCCAAAAAUACAUACCACACCCACAUGGCACUCCAGGCAGGCUGUAGCAAACACUCAAAGUAUUUGAAAUAUUUCAGUGAGGUAGCUAGCCCACCUUCCAUAGCGUACAUCCCCUCAGGGUCAGGUCUGGUCUGUGAGGUAGCUAGCCCACCUUCCAUACCAUACAUCCCCUCAGGGUCAGGUCUGGUCAGUGAGGUAGCUAGCCCACCUUCCAUACCAUACAUCCCCUCAGGGUCAGGUCUGGUCAGUGAGGUAGCUAGCCCACCUUCCAUACCAUACAUCCCCUCAGGGUCAGGUCUGGUCAGUGAGGUAGCUAGCCCACCUUCCAUAGCGUACAUCCCCUCAGGGUCUGGUCUGUGAGGUAGCUAGCCCACCUUCCACACCAUACAUCCCCUCAGGGUCAGGUCUGGUCUGUGAGGUAGCUAGCCCACCUUCCAUACCAUACAUCCCCUCAGGGUCAG